AUUGAACGCUGGCGGCAGGCCUAACACAUGCAAGUCGAGCGGGGUUUUCGGACCUAGCGGCGGACGGGUGAGUAAUGCGUAGGAAGCUACCCGAUAGAGGGGGAUACCAGUUGGAAACGACUGUUAAUACCGCAUAAUGUCUACGGACCAAAGUGUGGGACCUUCGGGCCACAUGCUAUCGGAUGCGCCUACGUGGGAUUAGCUAGUUGGUGGGGUAGUGGCUCACCAAGGCGACGAUCCCUAGCUGGUUUGAGAGGAUGAUCAGCCACACUGGAACUGAGACACGGUCCAGACUCCUACGGGAGGCAGCAGUGGGGAAUAUUGGACAAUGGGCGCAAGCCUGAUCCAGCCAUGCCGCGUGUGUGAAGAAGGCCUUCGGGUUGUAAAGCACUUUCAGUAGGGAGGAAGGGUGUUGUGCUAAUAGCACAGCAUUUUGACGUUACCUACAGAAGAAGCACCGGCUAACUCUGUGCCAGCCGCCGCUGUAAAAC
rnacentral:rRNA from 1 species